rnacentral:rRNA from 1 species
AUUGAACGCUGGCGGCAGGCCUAACACAUGCAAGUCGAGCGGAUGAAGAGAGCUUGCUCUCUGAUUCAGCGGCGGACGGGUGAGUAAUGCCCAGGAAUCUGCCUGGUAGUGGGGGACAACGUUUCGAAAGGAACGCUAAUACCGCAUACGUCCUACGGGAGAAAGCAGGGGACCUUCGGGCCUUGCGCUAUCAGAUGAGCCUAGGUCGGAUUAGCUAGUUGGUGAGGUAAUGGCUCACCAAGGCGACGAUCCGUAACUGGUCUGAGAGGAUGAUCAGUCACACUGGAACUGAGACACGGUACAGACUCCUACGGGAGGCAGCAGUGGGGAAUAUUGGACAAUGGGCGAAAGCCUGAUCCAGCCAUGCCGCGUGUGUGAAGAAGGUCUUCGGAUUGUAAAGCACUUUAAGUUGGGAGGAAGGGCAGUAAGUUAAUACCUUGCUGUUUUGACGUUACCGACAGAAUAAGCACCGGCUAACUCUGUGCCAGCCGCCGCAGUAA